rnacentral:rRNA from 1 species
AUUGAACGCUGGCGGCAGGCCUAACACAUGCAAGUCGGGCGGUAGCACAAGGGAGCUUGCUCCCUGGGCGACGAGCAGCGGACGGGUGAGUAAUGUCUGGGAAACUGCCUGAUGGAGGGGGAUAACUACUGGAAACGGUAGCUAAUACCGCAUAACGUCGCAAGACCAAAGAGGGGGACCUUCGGGCCUCUGGCCAUCGGAUGUGCCCAGAUGGGAUUUGCUAGUAGGUGGGGUAAAGGCUCACCUAGGCGACGAUCCCUAGCUGGUCUGAGAGGAUGACCAGCCACACUGGAACUGAGACACGGUCCAGACUCCUACGGGAGGCAGCAGUGGGGAAUAUUGCACAAUGGGCGCAAGCCUGAUGCAGCCAUGCCGCGUGUGUGAAGAAGGCCUUCGGGUUGUAAAGCACUUUCAGCGGGGAGGAAGGGAGCAGGCUUAAUACGUCUGUUCAUUGACGUUACCCGCAGAAGAAGCACCGGCCAACUACGUGCCAGCCGCCGCGGUAAAAC